ACAGCAGCCGCCGCGGGAAUACGUAGGUGGCAAGCGUUGUCCGGAAUGAUUGGGCGUAAAGGGCUCGCAGGCGGUUUCUUAAGUCUGAUGUGAAAGCCCCCGGCUCAACCGGGGAGGGUCAUUGGAAACUGGGAAACUUGAGUGCAGAAGAGGAGAGUGGAAUUCCACGUGUAGCGGUGAAAUGCGUAGAGAUCUGGAGGAGUACCGGUGGCGAAGGCGGCCCCCUGGACGAAGACUGACGCUCAGGUGCGAAAGCGUGGGGAGCAAACAGGAUUAGAUACCCCUGUAGUCCCUGUCUCUUAUAC
rnacentral:rRNA from 1 species